rnacentral:rRNA from 1 species
GACGAACGCUGGCGGCGUGCCUAAUACAUGCAAGUAGAACGCACAGUUUAUACCGUAGCUUGCUACACCAUAGACUGUGAGUUGCGAACGGGUGAGUAACGCGUAGGUAACCUGCCUGGUAGCGGGGGAUAACUAUUGGAAACGAUAGCUAAUACCGCAUAAUAUUGAUUAUUGCAUGAUAAUUAAUUGAAAGGUGCAAUUGCACCACUACCAGAUGGACCUGCGUUGUAUUAGCUAGUAGGUGAGGUAACGGCUCACCUAGGCGACGAUACAUAGCCGACCUGAGAGGGUGAUCGGCCACACUGGGACUGAGACACGGCCCAGACUCCUACGGGAGGCAGCAGUAGGGAAUCUUCGGCAAUGGACGAAAGUCUGACCGAGCAACGCAGCGUGAGUGAAGAAGGUUUUCGGAUCGUAAAGCUCUGUUGUAAGAGAAGAACGGGUGUGAGAGUGGAAAGUUCACACUGUGACGGUAUCUUACCAGAAAGGGACGGCUAACUACGUG